rnacentral:rRNA from 1 species
ACGCGGCGGCAUGCCUAACACAUGCAAGUCGAGCGCCCGUAGCGAUACGGAGCGGCGCAUGGGUGAGUAACGCGUGGGAACCUGCCUUUAGGUUCGGGACAACCGCGGGAAACUGCGGCUGAUACCGGAUAAUGCCCUUGGCGGAAACGUCAUUGGCCAAAGAUUUAUUGCCUUGGAGGGGCCCGCGUCGGAUUAGGUAGUUGGUGGGGUAACGGCUUACCAAGCCAUCGAUCCGUAGCUGGUCUGAGAGGAUGGCCAGCCACACUGGGACUGAGACACGGCCCAGACUCCUACGGGAGGCAGCAGUGGGGAGUAUUGGACAAUGGGGGCAACCCUGAUCCAGCAAUGCCGCGUGGGUGAUGAAGGCCUUCGGGUUGUAAAGCCCUUUCGGCGGGGACGAUGAUGACGGUACCCGCAGAAGAAGCCCCGGCUAACUUCGUGCCAGCAGCCGCGGUAAUACGAAGGGGGCUAGCGUUGUUCGGAAUGACUGGGCGUAAAGGGCGCGUAGGCGGCUUGUUUAGUCAGGCGUGAAAGCCCCGGGCUUAACCUGGGAACUGCGCUUGAUACUGGCGGGCUGGAGUACGGGAGAGGAUGGUGGAAUUCCCAGUGUAGAGGUGAAAUUCGUAGAUAUUGGGAAGAACACCGGUGGCGAAGGCGGCCAUCUGGACCGUUACUGACGCUGAGGCGCGAAAGCGUGGGGAGCAAACAGGAUUAGAUACC